AGUGAACGCUGGCGGUAGGCCUAACACAUGCAAGUCGAACGGCAGCACAGUAAGAGCUUGCUCUUACGGGUGGCGAGUGGCGGACGGGUGAGGAAUACAUCGGAAUCUACUUUUUCGUGGGGGAUAACGUAGGGAAACUUACGCUAAUACCGCAUACGACCUACGGGUGAAAGCAGUGGAUCUUCGGACCUUGCGCGAUUGAAUGAGCCGAUGUCGGAGUAGCUAGUUGGCGGGGUAAAGGCCCACCAAGGCGACGAUCCGUAGCCGGUCUGAGAGGAGGGUAGGCCGCCAUAGAAGGUGACCACCGACCUGGGGACUGAGGGACGGAGCAGAGGGGAAUAUUAGGCAACAGGGGGAAAUAUUGUACAAUGAGCCCGCGUGGGUGACGAAGGCCUUCGGGUUGUAAAGACCUUUUGUUGGGUAAAAAAAGCAGUAGGUUAAUACCACGCUGUUGUGACGGUACCGAAAGAAUAAGCACCGGCUAACUUCGUG
rnacentral:rRNA from 1 species